UGGGGGAUAUUGCACAAUGGGCGAAAGCCUGAUGCAGCGACGCCGCGUGGGGGAUGAAGGCUUUCGUGUUGUAAACCUCUUUCGCUAUCGAACAAGGCCCGCUUAGGGUGGGUUGAGGGUAGGUGGAGAAGAAGCGCCGGCUAACUACGUGCCAGCAGCCGCGGUAAUACGUAGGGCGCGAGCGUUGUCCGGAAUUAUUGGGCGUAAAGGGCUUGUAGGCGGCUUGUUGCGCCUGCUGUGAAAACGCGGGGCUUAACUUCGCGCGUGCAGUGGGUACGGGCAGGCUUGAGUGUGGUAGGGGUGACUGGAAUUCCAGGUGUAGCGGUGGAAUGCGCAGAUAUCUGGAGGAACACCGAUGGCGAAGGCAGGUCACUGGGCCAUUACUGACGCUGAGGAGCGAAAGCAUGGGUAGCGAACAGG
rnacentral:rRNA from 1 species